rnacentral:rRNA from 1 species
AUUGAACGCUGGCGGCAUGCUUUACACAUGCAAGUCGAACGGCAGCGCGGGCUUCGGCCUGGCGGCGAGUGGCGAACGGGUGAGUAAUACAUCGGAACGUGCCCAGUAGUGGGGGAUAGCUCGGCGAAAGCCGGAUUAAUACCGCAUACGACCUGAGGGUGAGAGCGGGGGAUCUUCGGACCUCGCGCUAUUGGAGCGGCCGAUGGCAGAUUAGCUAGUUGGUGGGGUAAAGGCCUACCAAGGCGACGAUCUGUAGCUGGUCUGAGAGGACGACCAGCCACACUGGGACUGAGACACGGCCCAGACUCCGACGGGAGGCAGCAGUGGGGAAUUUUGGACAAUGGGCGAAGGCCUGAUCCAGCAAUGCCGCGUGUGUGAUGAAGGCCUUCGGGUUGUAAAGCACUUUUGGCGGGAACGAAAAGGACUGUGCCAAUACCACGGUUCGAUGACGGUACCCGCAGAAUAAGCAACGGCUAACUACGUG